GGCUGCUCUCUGCAGACACUGAACUUCACUGCUGCCAGAGCCACCGUGAGGUGCUCGUCUCAGACCUGGCUUCCCCGGACAGAGGCAGGCCCCGCUGCAGCAGCUCCAGACAGUACACCACCUGAGCCUUCACGCACCUACAGUAGUUCUUGGACCAUUUCAUUCCCAACCAGAAUGUGAACAACCUGUGGACCAACUUGUCACUGCACUGUCCUGUCCCGUGAGGAGGGGAAGACCUGCUAGGCUCUGCACCUCCUGCUUCUGCCUCCUGGGAAGAAGAGCCGCAACACGAGCCCCCGGGCUGCUUGGUAUUGGCACAAUCUGA
rnacentral:lncRNA from 1 species